rnacentral:lncRNA from 1 species
GUGUGCUCUUCACCUUGACACUGGGGAUGUGGCAGCCAACUGGGGUUGUGUGGGAAUGAGGUAGGCUUGGGAUGGGGAAGGGUCAAGGAAAGUGCUUCAGAAGAGAUGAUAGAAAGGCCUUAAAAAUGCUUCCACUGGCCAUGUCAGGAUGAAUCUGCAUGGAAACCUAAUCAAGUCAGAAAGUUACAGUAAAGAGAGAGAUACCUUCGAGGGCAUGGCUUCAUGGAAGAAGGGUCCACGGUGUUCUAGGAUGACAGUGCUGUAGGGCAGAGUUUCUGUAGGUAUUGUCUUGGGACCUUUGUGCUGUCUGAGAUGAUAAUGGGCAGUCUGCCAACAGGGUUCCAGGAUCAAGUAAGUUUGGGUUUCUUUACCUCAUAUUUGCAAGACCGUUUAGAUGCUCGUGGGUCCUGUGAAGCUCCAAGAAGGGAACAGAACCUGAGCACACGUUCUUUCUUCUUAGAAAGCCCUAUGGAGAUCUCCUGGCACAAGAGGGUCCCGGAGAACACAGUCUGGGAAAUGAUGUCUUCCAGGAGGCAUGGAAGGGCUGAAGCUGGCUGGAACUCUGAGGCCUGCCCUUGGCAGCAUGGUGUAUGGAUAAGCCCUCUGUUAUCUCAUUCGAUUCUACUCCUGAAGACACGUUGGUUGUACAACUGGAGAACAGCUUCCAAAUUAAAAACAAAAAAUAUUCAGAGUAAUGCCCUCGAGACUGACAGCUUUGAAAGGUAUACUAUGCUUACCCCUGCGGUCCAUGCGCUGCUGGCAUCCCAGUGCCUUCCCUCCUUUCUGAAGCACAGACCUGGUGCUUACCUGUCUUUUCUCAAGGGAUAA